AUUGAGAGAUGGCAAGUUGACUAGUGAUACAUGUCCAAAUGUAUUUAGCUCAGCAAACAAAAAAUUCUGGGGCUUUGGUCUGGUACCACCAGCCACCAGGACCCACCAUGUUACCAUGGGGCUUUGGCAGUGUUUUCUCACUUUCUGGGUGGGGUUACCAUAACCUUGUUUGCUAGCCAGUAUAUACCAGUGUUCUGUUUGCCUAGUGAUUUGAAUUCAUGAUUGAACUUUUGAGCUACCUUUAGUCAGGUCUGCUGACAUUUGACAGCUUCUGUCGAUAACUUACUUUGAUAUUACAUUUUUCUGCAUGAUGAUGAAUGCUGAUCUGUGCUUCUUCUUUUAUUUUGAGAUUAAGAUGUGUCCUUGUUCUUGCAGGAGUACCUCCAUUUCUUCUGUAACCCUCAACUCUGCCACAGAGACAUCAAGUCGAGCAACAUUCUUUUGGACGAAAACUUUGUUGCCAAGGUUGCUGAUUUCGGCCUUGCGCACGCAUCGAGAACUGGUGCUAUCAGCUUUGAAGCUGUCAACACAGAUAUACGCGGAACUCCAGGUUUGAAUUUCGCCUGUAGAUCUGAACAGUUUGGAAGUUACUUUGUGUCUCCCACUAUGGAUAGCAGAAGGUCACUGAGUGAGUAAGUGGAGCAAGUACUAUCAAACAUAGACAAGAACUCGUGCAGAAAUGCAGUAUAGUUUUUCCUUUUUCUCAUUUUCUUAGUGGAAGAAA